CCUACGGGCGGCAGCAGUGAGGAAUAUUGGUCAAUGGGCGCGAGCCUGAACCAGCCAAGUAGCGUGAAGGAUGACUGCCCUACGGGUUGUAAACUUCUUUUAUAAAGGAAUAAAGUGAGGCACGUGUGCCUUUUUGUAUGUACUUUAUGAAUAAGGAUCGGCUAACUCCGUGCCAUCAGCCGCGGUAAUACGGAGGAUCCGAGCGUUAUCCGGAUUUAUUGGGUUUAAAGGGAGCGUAGAUGGGUUGUUAAGUCAGUUGUGAAAGUUUGCGGCUCAACCGUAAAAUUGGAAUUGAUACUGGCAGUCUUGAGUACAGUUGAGGUAGGCGGAAUUCGUGGUGUAGCGGUGAAAUGCUUAGAUAUCACGAAGAACUCCGAUUGCGAAGGCAGCUUACUAAACUGCCACUGACAUUGAUGCUCGAAAGUGUGGGUAUCAAACAGGAUUAGAUACCCCAGUAGUC
rnacentral:rRNA from 1 species